rnacentral:rRNA from 1 species
AGAGUUUGAUCAUGGCUCAGAACGAACGCUGGCGGCAGGCUUAACACAUGCAAGUCGAACGCACCGCAAGGUGAGUGGCAGACGGGUGAGUAACGCGUGGGAACGUGCCCUUCAGUUCGGGAUAACCCAGGGAAACUUGGGCUAAUACCGGAUACGUGCGAGAGCAGAAAGAUUGAUCGCUGAAGGAUCGGCCCGCGUCUGAUUAGCUAGUUGGUAGGGUAAUGGCCUACCAAGGCGACGAUCAGUAGCUGGUCUGAGAGGAUGAUCAGCCACAUUGGGACUAAGACACGGCCCAAACUCCUACGGGAGGCAGCAGUGGGGAAUAUUGGACAAUGGGCGCAAGCCUGAUCCAGCCAUGCCGCGUGAGUGAUGAAGGCCUUAGGGUUGUAAAGCUCUUUCGGCGGGGACGAUAAUGACGGUACCCGCAGAAGAAGCCCCGGCUAACUUCGUGCCAGCAGCCGCGGUAAUACGAAGGGGGCUAGCGUUGUUCGGAAUCACUGGGCGUAAAGGGCGCGUAGGCGGCCUGAUAAGUCGGGGGUGAAAGCCUGUGGCUCAACCACAGAAUUGCCUUCGAUACUGUCGGGCUUGAGACCGGAAGAGGUAAGUGGAACUGCGAGUGUAGAGGUGAAAUUCGUAGAUAUUCGCAAGAACACCAGUGGCGAAGGCGGCUUACUGGUCCGGUUCUGACGCUGAGGCGCGAAAGCGUGGGGAGCAAACAGGAUUAGAUACCCUAGUAGUCC